AUUGAACGCUGGCGGCAUGCUUUACACAUGCAAGCCGAACGGUAACAGGUUAAGCUGACGAGUGGCGAACGGGUGAGUAAUGCAUCGGAACGUGCCCGGUCGUGGGGGAUAACGCAGCGAAAGCUGCGCUAAUACCGCAUACGAUCUGAGGAUGAAAGCGGGGGACCGUAAGGCCUCGCGCGAUCGGCGCGGCCGAUGUCAGAUUAGGUAGUUGGUGGGGUAAAGGCUCACCAAGCCAACGAUCUGUAGCUGGUCUGAGAGGACGACCAGCCACACUGGGACUGAGACACGGCCCAGACUCCUACGGGAGGCAGCAGUGGGGAAUUUUGGACAAUGGGCGAAAGCCUGAUCCAGCAAUGCCGCGUGCAGGAAGAAGGCCUUCGGGUUGUAAACUGCUUUUGUACGGAGCGAAAAGGUCUCCUCUAAUACAGGGGGCUCAUGACGGUACCGUAAGAAUAAGCACCGGCUAACUACGUGCCAGCCGCCGCAGUAA
rnacentral:rRNA from 1 species